AACACAUGCAAGUUGAGCGACGAACCGGGCUGCCCCGGGCAAAGCAGCGAACGGGUGAGUAACACGUGGAUAACGUACCCCGAUAACCGGGACAACCCGAGGAAACUCGAGCUAAUACCGGAUGUUCUUACUACACAUCAGUGAAGUAAGUAAAGGAAGCUUCGGCCUCCGUAUUGGGAGCGGUCCGCGGCCCAUUAGCUAGUUGGUGAGGUAACGGCUCACCAAGGCAACGAUGGGUAGCUGGUCUGAGAGGACGAUCAGCCACACUGGGACUGAGACACGGCCCAGACUCCUACGGGAGGCAGCAGUGGGGAAUAUUGGACAAUGGGCGCAAGCCUGAUCCAGCCAUCC
rnacentral:rRNA from 1 species